ensembl:lncRNA
CACACAGGCUCAGGGCAGGAAUUCAUCAAGGACAUGACUGUUGGGAUUACGGUUGUGGAUGUGACUGUUGGGAUCACGGUUGUGGAUGACCAAACUGAGCAGCAUCAAUCUGCAGUGAUGUGGUCCAGGUAAUAGAAGAAAUGUUGGUGAUCUGGGGUUGUAACGCGUUGUUGGGUUGUGUGCUGUGUUAGACUAUCUGGGACUUGUCACAGAAAGAAACCCAUUCAGGUUUAGAACAACUUGAGGCUUAGUAAAUUACAAUUUUCUUUCUCUCUUUUUUUUUUUUUCUUUUUUUUUUGGGUGAACCCUUUAAGAAAAUUUAGACAUUUGCACUUGAAAAUGGCUUCAAAAUUUAGAGAACAUAAUUUGACAUUAUUUUCCCUUCAGUUUUAUUCCUUGAAUUUUCUAGAAUUGGUAUUUAAAAGGUCUUUAUAAAGUCUUGAAUUUAUCUUCAUAAAACCAGCAGAAACCCUGUUUAUGGACAUUGCCAUUUUGGGAAAUUUUCAUUUAUUGGUAGCUGUCCAUUUAACAACACACAACCUUAAUAGUGUAUGUACAUAUGUGUUCAGUUGUAAUAAAUUUAAUCAGUAAAGUAAUAUUUUGUUUUCCCAGCCAUCCAGUGAAAUUAAGGAUGUUGUGAAAGAAAUUGAAGAGGGUAUUCUGAUUGUAACUGAGGAGCAGCAAUGUGAUGUGCUUCCCAAGGAAUAACCAACAUUGCUCUCAUUUGGACAUAUCCCAUGUCCCCAAGGCAUUUGGACUCCUAAUGGGUCUGUAUGCAGUGAACAUCCACUACCUCAAGCGCAUGAAAUACACCAUUGAGGCUCUGCAAAAACUUGUGAAGACCAGCUGCUCCCACCAUGUGCUCGCUACAGCAGCAGGAAUUGUAGGUGGGGGGAGUGAAUGUACAGCGCUCUCUCCCUCCUUCAAUACCACGACUGAGGUGCCGUUGAACAAGGCACCAAACCCCCUACUGCUCCCCGGGCACCGCAGCAUAAAUGAUACCCACUGCUCUGGGUGUGUGUGUGUGUGUGUGCACUUUGGAUGGGUUAAAUGGAAAGCACAGAUUCCGAGUAUGGAUCACCAUACUUGGCUGUAUGUCACAUAACUUUCACUUUUCAAUGUUCAUGAUGUGUUCAUCGGCUCCACAGCAAGCUCUUUCAUAAAAAGUAUGGUUUUUUUAAAGGAACUUUUGGUUCUUUUGAGCCUUUCACUACAUUUUAGAAUGCUCAUUAAAGUUUAUCAUGUCAUGACUUGGAAUAUGCAUGUUCUCAUGUAAACAAAUGUUGUUUCACGUCUCAUUUUCCUAUACAGUAAUGUACACAUUUCCUUCAAAUUGACAAGUGCUUUUACUUUCCUUUUUCUGUUUCUUGUUUUAUGACCAGUAAAUAGCAUUAUGAUGUGGGAGAGUUUGGAAACUUUCAAGAUCCUUCUGAUGUUAACAUUUAUUUCUGGUCAUGUUGCGCUAUAAAAUUUUGAAUCUGAUGGUUCAGAUCUUUGUGCUUCAAUGUGCAUUCCAUUCAUAUUUUAUUAUGCAUAAGUGCAGUACACUAAUUUUUUGUAACUAAAUGUGAUUGCUUUUGCCUUAUGUAUAUACAUACAUAUAAUAUCUUGGUUUCUCAUUUUGACCAACAACUUGCAUUAUGGUGGGGGGAGUGCAUGUAAACUUGUGCAGGGUUAAUUUGCAGUGUUUAACCUUCUGAUUUUCAUAUUGAGGUAUGAAAUGAAAAAUAAUCCCUGUGGCUCUGAUCUGAGGAAUUGAAAUGCAACUACUUGUUUCUCAGUCCCGUGCCAAUGUUAUUUAUUAUACAUCACACUUUCAAGUGUCGGUUCAAAUCUUUAGACGUGUGUGUGUUUGUAUUUUGUAAUUUUUUUUUAUUAUCAAUUGUCAGUUGAUGUGUUGACAGCAAAUUGCUUGUUUAAUUUAAAUGUGAAUGAAAGUGUUGUCUCUAUCAUUAAAUAAAUGACAUUUUUUUUUUAAAAAGUGUUUUGUC